rnacentral:rRNA from 1 species
UACGUAGGUGGCAAGCGUUGUCCGGAUUUAUUGGGUUUAAAGGGCGCGUAGGCGGCCACUGCAAGUCGGUUGUGAAAUCUCCGGGCUUAACUCGGAAAGGUCAACCGAUACUGCAGGGCUAGAGUGCAGAAGGGGCAACUGGAAUUCUCGGUGUAGCGGUGAAAUGCGUAGAUAUCAGGAGGAACACCGAUUGCGAAGGCAGCUCGCUGGAACGUUACUGACGCUGAGACGCGAAAGCGUGGGGAGCAAACAGG